UACGGAGGGGGCUAGCGUUGUUCGGAAUUACUGGGCGUAAAGCGCACGUAGGCGGCUUUGUAAGUUAGAGGUGAAAGCCCGGGGCUCAACUCCGGAAUUGCCUUUAAGACUGCAUCGCUCGAAUUGUGGAGAGGUAAGUGGAAUUCCGAGUGUAGAGGUGAAAUUCGUAGAUAUUCGGAAGAACACCAGUGGCGAAGGCGACUUACUGGACACAUAUUGACG
rnacentral:rRNA from 1 species